UCGAGCGAGCUUGCCUAGAUGAAUUUGGUGCUUGCACCAGAUGAAACUAGAUACAAGCGAGCGGCGGACGGGUGAGUAACACGUGGGUAACCUGCCCAAGAGACUGGGAUAACACCUGGAAACAGAUGCUAAUACCGGAUAACAACACUAGACGCAUGUCUAGAGUUUAAAAGAUGGUUCUGCUAUCACUCUUGGAUGGACCUGCGGUGCAUUAGCUAGUUGGUAAGGUAACGGCUUACCAAGGCAAUGAUGCAUAGCCGAGUUGAGAGACUGAUCGGCCACAUUGGGACUGAGACACGGCCCAAACUCCUACGGGAGGCAGCAGUAGGGAAUCUUCCACAAUGGACGCAAGUCUGAUGGAGCAACGCCGCGUGAGUGAAGAAGGGUUUCGGCUCGUAAAGCUCUGUUGGUAGUGAAGAAAGAUAGAGGUAGUAACUGGCCUUUAUUUGACGGUAAUUACUUAGAAAGUCACGGCUAACUACGUGCCAGCAGCCGCGGUAAUACGUAGGUGGCAAGCGUUGUCCGGAUUUAUUGGGCGUAAAGCGAGUGCAGGCGGUUCAAUAAGUCUGAUGUGAAAGCCUUCGGCUCAACCGGAGAAUUGCAUCAGAAACUGUUGAACUUGAGUGCAGAAGAGGAGAGUGGAACUCCAUGUGUAGCGGUGGAAUGCGUAGAUAUAUGGAAGAACACCAGUGGCGAAGGCGGCUCUCUGGUCUGCAACUGACGCUGAGGCUCGAAAGCAUGGGUAGCGAACAGGAUUAGAUACCCUGGUAGUCCAUGCCGUAAACGAUGAGUGCUAAGUGUUGGGAGGUUUCCGCCUCUCAGUGCUGCAGCU
rnacentral:rRNA from 1 species